rnacentral:rRNA from 1 species
AAUGGGGGAAACCCUGACGCAGCAACGCCGCGUGGGUGAUGAAGGCCCUCGGGUCGUAAAGCCCUGUCGGGAGGGAAGAAAUGAUUGUGAGCUAAUACCUCAUGGUCUUGACGGUACCCUCAGAGGAAGCACCGGCUAACUCCGUGCCAGCAGCCGCGGUAAUACGGAGGGUGCGAGCGUUGUUCGGAAUUAUUGGGCGUAAAGCGCGUGUAGGCGGUUUGCUCAGUCGGUGGUGAAAGCCCUGGGCUCAACCUGGGAAGUGCAUUGGAUACUGGCAGACUUGAGUACGGGAGAGGGUAGUGGAAUUCCCAGUGUAGGAGUGAAAUCCGUAGAUAUUGGGAGGAACACCGGUGGCGAGGCGGCUGCCUGGACCGAUACUGACGCUGAGACGCGAAAGCGUGGGGAGCGAA